CCUACGGGAGGCAGCAGUGAGGAAUAUUGGUCAAUGGGCGAGAGCCUGAACCAGCCAAGUCGCGUGAGGGAGUACUGCCCUAUGGGUUGUAAACCUCUUUUGUCGGGGAGCAAAAGCCGGACGUGUCCGGCUGUGAGAGUACCCGAAGAAAAAGCAUCGGCUAACUCCGUGCCAGCAGCCGCGGUAAUACGGAGUAUGCGAGCGUUAUCCGGAUUUAUUGGGUUUAAAGGGUGCGCAGGCGGAUUUUUAAGUCAGCGGUAAAAUCGUGGGGCUCAACCCCAUCCAGCCGUUGAAACUGGGGAUCUAGAGUGUGCGAGAGGUAUGCGGAAGGCGUGGUGUAGCGGUGAAAUGCAUAGAUAUCACGCAGAACCCCGAUUGCGAAGGCAGCAUACCGGUGCACAACUGACGCUCAGGCACGAAAGCGUGGGUAUCGAACAGGAUUAGAUACCCUUGUAGUC
rnacentral:rRNA from 1 species